rnacentral:misc_RNA from 1 species
AUUACUUUCAUCGUCUUAUAUUGUUUUAAGAAAAAACCAGUAUCUAUUUCAAUGAGCAAAAUACACAGUAAUGAAAUUGGACAAAUCAUUCAAUUGAAGCAUAACAAUUCAUUGAAAUAAACUGAGUGGACUAUCAUGAAGUGAAAGAGAUUUGAAAUACCUCAUCGAUCCAACCCCUCAUUCCCAAGCAGUUCUCCCUUGAUCCUUAAAUAUGAUAAGCAGAGAAAGUUUUUCCUUGUUCCUUGUUCCUUGAACCUUGAAUAUGUGCCUGAGUUGAAAAUUUACAUGAGAAAUGAUUUCUUUAAUAGAUGAGUGCAAAAACUAUGUAUCUCGGACUGUCCUACAAUAUUUCUGCACAUGUGUCACACAUCCUCCAAUGAUGGAAAAUUAUAGGAGGGUCUCCAAUACGUAUCUCAUUAACCAUCUUUAAAAAUUACUAGCAACAUAGUUAAAAACCAAUCAUAAAGAGAUAAGUAUCCUAUUCAUCCACCACAACUAAGCUAAUAUCCACAACUAAGCAACAAGUAAUCCAUCCAAAUGUAUUAUUUUCUUAGCUCCAAUAGAAAAGACGAUUUUACUUGUUUUCA